rnacentral:rRNA from 1 species
UACAGAGGUCCCAAGCGUUGUUCGGAUUCACUGGGCGUAAAGGGUGCGUAGGCGGUCGGGUAAGUCUGAUGUGAAAUCUCACAGCUUAACUGUGAAACUGCAUUGGAUACUAUCCGGCUCGAGGAAUGGAGGGGAGACUGGAAUACUUGGUGUAGCAGUGAAAUGCGUAGAUAUCAAGUGGAACACCAGUGGCGAAGGCGAGUCCCUGGACAUUUCCUGACGCUGAGGCACGAAAGCCAGGGGAGCAAACGGG